GUCAAGUCAUCAUGCCCCUUAUGUCCAGGGCUACACACGUGCUACAUUGGCCGGCACAGAGGGCGGCGAUACCGCGAGGUGGAGCGAAUCCCACAAAGCCGGUCUCGGUUCGGAUUGGAGGCUGAAACUCGCCUCCAUGAAGCUGGAGUUGCUAGUAAUCGCAGAUCAGCAAUGCUGCGGUGAAUGCGUUCCCGGGUCUU
rnacentral:rRNA from 1 species